rnacentral:rRNA from 1 species
UACGUAGGGUGCAAGCGUUAAUCGGAAUUACUGGGCGUAAAGCGUGCGCAGGCGGCUAUGCAAGUCAGGUGUGAAACCUCCAGGCUCAACCUGGAGACGCCACCUGAUACUGCUGUGGCUAGAGUCCGGUAGGGGAGCGUGGAAUUCCUGGUGUAGCGGUGAAAUGCGCAGAUAUCAGGAGGAACACCAGCGGCGAAGGCGGCGCUCUGGGCCGGAACUGACGCUGAGGAGCGAAAGCGUGGGUAGCAAACAGG